rnacentral:lncRNA from 1 species
GACCUCUAUACCUACAUUUCUUUCUUUACAGCAUGGAAAGACAACCAAUUUUUGAACACAUGAAAGCUCAUUACAUGAUCAGUACACAGAAGCUGAAAUUGGGGUAAAGUUAGUAUUGCAGGGACACAUGUUGAACAUCUCUGUAAUAGGUACCACUACAAAUGUUCUAAAAAAAACUUCAAAUUCACUACACAGCCAAAACACAAAUGUUUAAAAAUGGUUCAAAAGUAGGGUUCUAACUUACAAUUCAAACCCAUACACACAUAAGCUCUAGAACGACUAUAAAGAAAUGGUUCAAAUCCGUACACGUUGCUUCAACAGAAUUUCAAAUAGGACUUCGAACUUCAAAUUCAUGAACACACAAAUUUGGUCCGAAUUGUGUACAAAUAGCAUAUUGAAUUCGUCCAAGCCAUAUGCAAAUACAGAAACGCUUAACAACAUUGAAACACACAUGUAAACCAAAUAUCAUACUUACCAAAGGUUUGUUGUAGAUUAAAGCAGAGAAGACAGCGUUCCUGGCAUCGACGGAAGAAAAUCGGACGAACGUCUAACGAAUUGAAAGCCAACAAACUAGACCAAAUGUAUUCCAUCCGGUCAUUGAGUUCUCCAAUGGAAUAGGAGAAGAUGGAUGAAGUUAGGUGUAGAGAGACGAUGGAGUCCAUCGUGUGUAGGGUUUCGACAAUUUAGGGGGGAAAUGGAUGUUAUUUGAGGUGAG